CCCCGAUUCAGAUCCAUUCCCGCAGCUGCCGUCGCCCCCACCAUAGCUCGCCGCUGGGCCUCCCCCGACCCUCCCUGCCUCCCAACCCCCUCGCCGCUGCCUCCUCCUUCCUCAAGCACCACCUCUCCAACCUCCCCUCUCGCUUUGCCGCCCCGUGCCCCGCGCUCGACGCGUCGCGCCUGCCGAGGCCCCAUAGCACCGCCCAGUCUCUCAUGCUCGGGCUCGAUGAGGUCGCGCGCACGCUCACUGGCACACCCGUCUUCACCAUUUGCAACUCCAGCAACUAGUUCGUGCUCGUCUCCGCUCCCUCGGCCUCCUCUGCUUCCUCUCCAAGGACGCCGACGCCCUCCUCUCCGUCGAAGGUCGCCGGAACCAUGACGGUCGGCGCGCCCAUGCGUGAGGAGACAACGACGACCCCGACAAGCCCUCCAAGGCCAGCAAGAAGGCGGCCGCCAAGGACGACCAGCCGCCCCAGCGCCAGCAGCAGUAGUACCUCCAAGAUGGCGCAGCAGCCACACUCCCAACUGCUCAAUGGUGGCGGUCGAUCUCGGCCAUUCAGUUAUCAGCCACCGUGGAACAAACACUGCGAUCCUACUUUGAGUGAUGCAUCAGUGUUUGAUGCGCAAAGAAUAAUUGGGCUAGAUCUGCGGGUUCAUCUUUGUGCUUUUUAUUACAUAGCAGCGCUGCAACUCGUUAGUCGAUUCAGAGUUUCCAUUUACAUCAUCUGGGAUAUACUUGAUGUGAUUACAAGUCCUACCAAGUAGUGAAUAGUAUAACAUUUUAAUUUGGAAUCCCACCUAACAGUAUUCUAGGUGUCUGCCAGUCAACUCAUCAUAUCAUAUGAGCCCAGAAACACCGACCAGAUCACACUUGUACUAAUUUUCUUAGUAUUUAAUCAAAUCAGGAAGAACUGAUCUUAUUGGCUAUAAGUGUGCUUUCUAGUACUUAUUAGCUGUGUUGCAACUUGUGAGCAAGUUGUGGGGUUUCUGUACAUACUUUGUGGUGCUAUGUGUCAUGCAAUUCUUGGUUCUAAUAAGUAUUGGCUACUUCAUGUUCACGUUAUAAUCCUAUAAGAUUGGGCUGUAGUUGCGAAUGCAUCUCUGUGGCAAUUAAUGGAUUCUGUCUAAGGCUUUUGCUCUUUGGUUUCACCCUACCAGUGCAUCACUUAGCAUAGUCUGCAUGUUAAGAUGCUCAAAGCGAAGGGCGCGAUAAGUGUUUCCUUUGCAUAUGAUUGGUUACUGAUGAUGAUAGUGCCUAUGGAAUAAGUAGGUGGCAUCCUCAAGGGCCAUUCAAACCAUUGCAUUUGAUGAAUCCGAUAAGACUAUCUUUUAUUCACUCCAUACUCUAUAGACAUUUCAGGUACACUUAACGUAUCUUGCAUAUGGUUGCUUUUUUUCCAGGUUCGUGAAGAGAGCUAAUCUGGUUUUGUGAAGGAAGGGAGAGAAAGAUUAUGUGGGGAUCAGAUUGUCCAUGGCGACCUAGGAGGAGCAACACCAUCUCAGGUUGCUCCGAUCUGGUUGUGUGAAGGAACAUGCAAGGUCUGCUACUGCUGUUGUGCUCCCUUGAAUGAUCUGGUGAAGGACAAUUUGGUCCAUAGGUAUAUGCGAGUCCGGCAGUGCGGUGGCAGUCCCCGUGGAACGAGCGCUGGACUACUCCCUUGGCCAGGCGUACCUCUGCAAGCACGAAUGGAGCGAAGACUCACUGUUGGUGUUGCCCGCCAAGUUCUCCAGCCCUUGGUGAACCGAGGCUAUCUCAAGUGCUUCGUUGCGUUCUUUGCUGCUGGUCUCAUGAACGGGGAAGUUAUUUUUCUUGAAGGAAGGGCAAGGAGGAGGCAACACGUUGGAAGCUAGAGGACCCAGGGAUGGAUAAUAUGUGUUGGUCUUGCCAUCUACCUGGCCCUUUUGUUGGUAAAUCCAUUGCGCAAUGGGUGACCGUGGAAGGGAUGGAAGUUCAUAUUGCUGUUUGUAAUGAAGGUCACAGCCUAAUCCUGACUAUGGUUGUCUAGUGAGUAUGGCAUAUGGUUCAUAUGACAGGAGCAUGUUCCCAGUUUGUGAUCGCUAUUGACAGGAGCUCCAUUCUGAAGAAGAUUGAAGACAAUUGUGGAGUUCUAAAUUACUGUAGCCAGCUAUCACACUUGUAGAGCUUGUAAUAUUGUGAUUCCAAUUGUAUUACGUGUUAUUGGUAGAGCAAGAGCUCCAUACUGAUUCUAGCUAUU